rnacentral:lncRNA from 1 species
AUUACUUGGAGGAUGAGACGAACUUAGCGUAGUCAUAAUUUGUGGUCCGGAUUUGGUACUGGAUUGGGUGCUCCUGCAAUGUUGACCAUCGUUGGUGGACAACAGAGAGUAUCGUCGACAUAGCCUAGUAAAUCAUAGCCAAAUAGAAGAUUAGAAAAUUGUGCAUGUCAGGAUGCAUAGUUGCCACCUUUGGAUAAUUUGAAGGGGAUAAGAGUUGCAGCAUUGAUGGAGAUAAGGCCUGUAUGUUGAGAAAUGAGAAGUACUAUGGUUCCUAUCGGGAUAAUAACUAGAGCAUCAAAGCUAGACGAUGAAGACAUGUGGAGGAGAUGUACCAAUUUGAGGAAGCAAGGUGAGAGCCUUCAAAUAUAUAAUGGGUUGUUAGGAUCAGGGUCGGCACUAAGAGGGGGGGGUGAAUUAGUGCAACGGUAAAAUCGUCUUCUAAAAACCUUUCGUUUCGAUUAAAUCCAUUUCUGACGAAAUACCCAUCUUGGAAAAUGUUUAACUUUAAAACGUUUGCAAGAAUGUAAUGAGCAAGUGAAGUAAGUAAAUCAGUUUGCAAUGCGAGAAUUAAAGGCAAAACAAGAAUGCAAACCGAUUUAUAGUGGUUUGGUCGUCGUGACCUACAUCCACUCCGCCGAUUCCUCUUCCGUCGAACCCACCGGCAUCCACUAUCAAUCUUCCUUUAAUAGGCGAUGAUUAACCUCCUUCUUACACCCCUCUUUUCCUUUUACCGGGUUUAGAAGACAACCCUUACAAGCACUCACUCCUCUCUUACAGAAUUCUAAACUUAGAGUGGAGGAGGGAAUUUCUCAAGAAAUUACAGCAGCGUUUUCUCACUUUUAAAUUCUCUGUGCUUGUAUCUUUUAACCAGGGAUGAGAGGGGUAUUUAUAGGCUUCAAGUUGAUUCAAACUUGGAGCCUAAAAACAUCUCAUCCUGGGUUUCCCGGG